AGCAGCCGCGGUAAUUCCAGCUCCAAUAGCGUAUAUUAAAGUUGUUGCAGUUAAAAGCUGUAGUUGAAUUUCGGAAUUUGUCGGUUGGUCGGGCUUCACUGUCCGCACUGACCUGAUGAUUCCUACCUUCUGAAUAACCAGCAUGCUAUUAAGUUAGUGCGUUGGGGAAGCAGAGCUUUACCUUGAAAAAUUAGAGUGCUUAAAGC
rnacentral:rRNA from 1 species